AUACGUAGGGAGCGAGCGUUGUCCGGAAUUACUGGGUGUAAAGGGUGCGUAGGCGGGACUGCAAGUCAGAUGUGAAAUGCAGGGGCUCAACCCCGGAGCUGCAUUUGAAACUGUGGUGCUUGAGUGAGGGAGAGGUAAGGGGAAUUCCUAGUGUAGCGGUGAAAUGCGUAGAUAUAAGUAGGAACAUCGGUGGCGAAGGCGUCUUUCUGGGCCGAUACUGACGCUGAGGCGCGAAAGCGUGGGGAGAAAACAGGAUUAGAUACCCUGGUAGUCCACGCUGUAAACGAUGUUCACUAGGUGUUGGGGGUAUUGACCCUCGCAGUGCCGUAGCUAACGCAUUAAGUGAACCGCCUGGGAAGUACGGUCGUAAGACUAAAACUCAAAUGAAGUGACGGGG
rnacentral:rRNA from 1 species